rnacentral:rRNA from 1 species
UACGGAGGGGACUAGCGUUGUUCGGAAUUACUGGGUGUAAAGCGCGCGUAGGCGGAUUUGUAAGUCGGGGGUGAAAUCCCGGGGCUCAACCUCGGAACUGCCUUCGAUACUGCAAAUCUCGAGUCCGGAAGAGGUGAGUGGAAUUCCUAGUGUAGAGGUGAAAUUCGUAGAUAUUAGGAAGAACACCAGUGGCGAAGGCGGCUCACUGGUCCGGUACUGACGCUGAGGUGCGAAAGCGUGGGGAGCAAACAGG